rnacentral:rRNA from 1 species
AGUCUGCAUGGAGCCGACCUUGAAAUACCACCCUUUAAUGUUUGAUGUUCUAACGUGGACCCGUGAUCCGGGUUGCGGACAGUGUCUGGUGGGUAGUUUGACUGGGGCGGUCUCCUCCUAAAGAGUAACGGAGGAGCACGAAGGUUGGCUAAUCCUGGUCGGACAUCAGGAGGUUAGUGCAAUGGCAUAAGCCAGCUUGACUGCGAGCGUGACGGCGCGAGCAGGUGCGAAAGCAGGUCAUAGUGAUCCGGUGGUUCUGAAUGGAAGGGCCAUCGCUCAACGGAUAAAAGGUACUCCGGGGAUAACAGGCUGAUACCGCCCAAGAGUUCAUAUCGACGGCGGUGUUUGGCACCUCGAUGUCGGCUCAUCACAUCCUGGGGCUGAAGUAGGUCCCAAGGGUAUGGCUGUUCGCCAUUUAAAGUGGUACGCGAGCUGGGUUUAGAACGUCGUGAGACAGUUCGGUCCCUAUCUGCCGUGGGCGCUGGAGAACUGAGGGGGGCUGCUCCUAGUACGAGAGGACCGGAGUGGACGCAUCACUGGUGUUCGGGUUGUCAUGCCAAUGGCACUGCCCGGUAGCUAAAUGCGGAAGAGAUAAGUGCUGAAAGCAUCUAAGCACGAAACUUGCCCCGAGAUGAGUUCUCCCUGAGACUUAGAGUCUCCUGAAGGAACGUUGAAGACGACGACGUUGAUAGGCCGGGUGUGUAAGCGCAGCGAUGCGUUGAGCUAACCGGUACUAAUGAACCGUGAGGCUUAACCUUACAACGCCGAAG